rnacentral:lncRNA from 1 species
CAAAUCAGUAAUUCCACUAUUUAUUUUUUAGACAUAAAAUUAGAACUGAAAGAUACUAAACUGGAGAUGUCGGUUUAUAGAAAGCCCACAUAUGAGCCAGUCAUCAUCCCAAAAUCAUCCUCUGACACAUUUGCAUACAAAGUAUCAGCCUUCAGUUUUUAUUUCAAGAGAACAAACUUUUACAUCACAGACAGCCAAGAAUUGAAAAAGAACUAGAUUACAUUUAUCGAGUCAGAUAUCAACACGGGUAUAGUAGAUUUUUCUUAAGUCAUCUACCAUAAAGCACAAGAACCCUCCAACCAACGAAAUAUUGAUAACAAAGCAAAAAAGUAAGACUACUUACAAGUGCCCUACGUGAUGAAUAAGCUCAAUGCCACCAAAAAAGUUGCGAAAAAAGUAGGCAAAAAGUUAACUUUAAAAGAGCAUCAACAAUAUUUAAUCAACUAUGGAAUGAAAAAGACCUCAGAGAAGAUAAGGAAAAAUCAGGGGGUAUGUAAAAUCCCAGUACGAAAUAACAUGAGACAGCAACAAGAGGCAUACAUCAGAGUAACAACAAGAACAUUAGAACAAAGAUUGGAGGACCAUAGAAAGGACAUCACUGGUGCAAAGUUGAACACUGCCUUAGCAAUGGAAAUGUAUAUUAAUGAUUUAUAGGUGAAAUGGCAUGAGGUUUAAAUAAUAAGACCCUCAGCUAAAACAUCCCACGCCUUAUUAGCAGAUUGCAACAAAGCAGAAAAGAAAAAGGCUCCAGAACGAACGACUGGCAACAGACUUACCUACCCCGUGGACAUACCUAUUGAGCAAGUCAAAUAAGAAGAGCGUGUAACAGUAGCCGUAAUAAAGAAUAACAAAGACCGUCGCAUUUAACUUACGGUAAUUUAAAAACCUGAAGAAAAAAUUUAAAUUAGAUAACUCCUCUGAGAUUAUUUAUUUACAUUUGUUGAUUUACAGUUUGUUUACUUUAGCUUGUUUUAUGUAACUACAGUAAUGUAAUGUCUUAAAAAACUAUUAUGUAUGAUGAUCUGUUUUUUAAAAAAUUGAUUGGUGUACUCAGAUUCUAGCCUGAUGAUGAUGCAGAAAACAUCGAAAA